rnacentral:rRNA from 1 species
CCUUUGUACACACCGCCCGUCGCUACUACCGAUUGAAUGGCUUAGUGAGGCCUUCGGAUUUGAUUCGGAGACUGGCAACAGACUUUGUUUUAGAAAAGUUGGUCAAACUUGGUCAUUUAGAGG